GGUGAGGUGGGUGAGAGGCUGAAACCACUAGUUUGCUAAACUGGCGUACGGGUAACUCUGUACCGCGGGUUCGAAUCCCGCCCUCACCG
rnacentral:tRNA from 1 species